CUCAUUCCCCACCCCACCCCUCAAUCCCCACCAACCACCGCCCUCUCCACCAUCGUCGAGCACCUCCAUCAGCCACCCACCCGCUGGCGCCAACCCUGACGACCCAGGCGCACCCGAGACCCGGCGCCCCCAUCCAUCUACCUCCUCACUGCGUCGCGCCGCCGCGCCACCAAAGCGCUACCCGGCGAUGGAUCCAAGCCGGCAACCGCCCCAGCGUGCCUCCUGGCGGCGGAUCCGGGCCGGCAACUAUUCCCCUCCUCCCCCACGACUGGUUUCCUCUCCUUUGUGUCAAGAUCGACGGUGUUCAGUGUAGAAGCCGGACGACGUGAUGCUGCUGUUACCGAUCUGCUGCAGCAUCUCUUGUUCGACUCCGAGAUCACUGGCGAUGAACACAAUCAGUUGUAGCGCAUGGCAUGGCGUUGGUGGGGAGAUACAAAGGGAAGAUGAUAAGGGAAGAUGAUAGGGGAUUACUCGAUAAGUAUGCGGAGGUUAAAUCUACCACAUGGGUCGUCAGCUUUGUUACCGUAACAAUGCACCAACCUAACACGCGAGGAAAACAAUUUCACAAGAUUCUCAUGUUAAGUAACUAUUCAAAGAGGUACAUGACAAUGUUGAUGUGCGGGAAAGAUAAAUUCACUCACUAACAUCUCUGAUGCUAUGGCUUACAUGUUGACGGUUGAGACCUGCUGAGUUUACUCAUUUAUUGUGUGAUGUGUUAACUUGCUUUUGUAAUUUGUAUAUGCCAACAUAUGUCAUGUUGUUUUAUGGUUAGUAGUAUUUCAACAUGAUUUUCCUCUUCA